UGAGAGAGUCGGAGUUAGUCUCGAUUUUCCUUCUUUUCCCCCUCACUGUUGGUUCGUUUUCUCUCCCUCAUCACCGACUAUCCUUCCACCAUCAUCAGUCACCGGCUAUCCUUCCCUCUAUCAGCACCGAUCAUCUUCUGUGGUGUGGGAGUCAUCGGAUCUUCACCUUGGUCUGCUGCCUUGUUUCCUUUCUGCUCAUCUCUUCUACUUCAUCCUCGAUCUAGCCACCCCUGUCCUUUGCUCUUCAACAUGCUGCUGACGAGAACAGGAGCUCCACUUGUCGCUGCUGUGAUGUCUUCCCAGAACGACAGCGUUGUGGUGCAAAUCAUAGUGUAGCUGGCGCUGUACGUCCUGCCUACCAAUGAUGGAUUUUUGCUAAGCUAGGUGGAGAUUUGUUAAGUAAAUAUUUAUUAUUGAUGUAAAUAUGAAAUUUAUCUAUUUCGUCAUUAAGAAUAUGUUUAGGUGUUUCACAUAGACUAUAGUUAGAGUAAUUAUUUUAUUAUACAUUUUGUCUAUCGGUCAAAAAGAAAAAGAGGCCCUAAUUAUAGUGAUUUCUAUUUGAGAAUUUUCUAUUA